UUACAUUCCCUCCCCCGCGCUACGAAAUGCUCGCUCUGAAUUUAAAUCAUGAAUCAUCAUCAAUGGCACUACAGGCCACCACCCUUGGCCAGUAACGUCUGUCCAAUUUGCUAUAUUUCUCACUUCCCGUUUUUCCCUUCUCCUCUGCCCUACGAUAAUUAAAUCCCUAGGUUUCCAUCCUGGCCCGGAUUCAACCCGAUGCCUGGGCACGUUGUGAACCCUAAUUUCGAUGGGCAAAAUCCGGUACAAUCGGUGUAUGAUUACUGCGGUGGUAGUAACGGCUUUGUUAGUGAAUGUGAUAGGAAUUGUAAUAAUAAAAGCAUUAGUGAAUAGGCUGUAUCAUUUAAAUUUUCUUUAAAAAAAUAGUAAAAGGACUGCAAAUUGGUCUAGCAUGUCCUCAGCCUGUUUCAGAUCCUGCUGAAUUUUUUAGCUUGAGCUGCAAUAGGCUGUAUCAUUUGAUUUGGUUGCUUGACUUUGAUGAUUGUGCUCAGCAUGCCUUGUUGAAAACACAGACUACGGCUGUGCCUUUAUAGAAGAUUUUUAGUACAAAUGGUGCACCCAAUUUUUGCUUGCACGCAGGAAACGAAUUGCCUGUUAAAUUAUUGUGAAAAAUCCCCUAAAUAAAUAUAUAAAUAUGACCUAUUUUAGGCGAUUUUUAAUACUGCUCUCUGUUUUAUACUCCUAUUUAGGUUUUUAAAUUUCCUCUCCUAUGCAAUGCUCAACCGCUCUUAGUCCAUGAGCAUAUUGGCAUUUUAAGUACUUGCUUGUUCAUACAACUAUGUUGUUAUUUUCUUAAACUUUGAAUUUAUAAGAUUUUUAGUACAAAUGGUGUAACCAACUUUUGCUUGCAAGCAGGAAAUGAAUUGUCUGUACAAAUGGUCUGACUUUUUUUCAUACUUAGAAGAAACUUAUUUUCAAAUCCAGUCUUUUGUAAUGUGGAGAGUUGAUUUUGUGAACAACUUUUGCUAGGUUAAUAUUUCUUAAAUGCUAAGAAUCUUCAUCCUGCAUCUGGCAUACUUUGCAUACCUAAGUGACUUCCAUUUUCUACUUAAAUUGUCUCGAGUUUUUCCCAUAAUUUUGUCUAAUUUUUGGCCUGAUAUGUUACAUUAUUACAGGAGCUUUAGAUUCUCCUUCUGAUGGGAAGAGAUGGGAUGUUGAAAGUGACCAUCCAACACAAGUAGUUAAAGACUUAGGCAGUUGUAAGUGGUCAGAUGAUUUAGAGGAAGAUAAUGCUGAAAGAUCUAAAGUUGUGAAGGGUUGGUGAUACUGGUUUUUUUUAUAGGUGAUGCAAAGAAUGCUAACAUGCUGUCUUCAGUAAUCGGACCAGGUGCUAGAUACAACUUGGCUAGUGUUAGGAUAAAGGUGUACGUAAGAAAUAAAACUAACAAGAAAGGGAAUGCUAGCAGCAACUCAGGAGAAACUACUGAAGAUCAGCAAAAUGAAGCCAUUGGAGAUCAGCAAAAUGGAGCAGAAGCAGGGGACCAGUUUCAACUAAGGAUGAAGCAGCAAGCUUGCAGCAGAAGCCAAGAGGUAUCAUAACAACUCCUAUAGCUGAGGUGACACUGCUAGAGCGGGAAAGGAACAAGGGGAGGCAUGAUAUAAAAGGGAGGAGAAAGAGAAAAAGGGCAAUUAAGAAGAAAGAGAACUGGAGGGAAGGGCCAACCUCUCGGGGUUUGGAUGACUGCAGGGAGAGAUUUUGGUUAUGUACUUUUGUGUUGGGUUUUGAUGGCAUGUCAAAUUGUAUUAAUGUAAUUGAACUGAAUACUGUAGAAGAACAGUUGUAUUCAUGGCAACAUUCUGAAUUAAUACAAAUGAUUUGAUGUUA